rnacentral:rRNA from 1 species
GACAGAGGGUGCUAGCGUUGUUCGGAAUUACUGGGCGUAAAGGCGCGUAGGCGGCUCGUUUAGUCGGGUGUGAAAUCCCGGGGCUCAACCCGGAACUGCAUUCGAUACUGGCGGGCUAGAGACCGGAAGAGGUGGGUGGGAAUGACCCGAGUCGUAGAGGUGAAAAUCGUAGAUAUUGGGGUGGAACACCGGUGGGCGAAGGCGGCUCACUGGUCCGGCUUCCUGGACGCUGAGGCGCGAAAGCGUGGGGAGCAAACAGG